rnacentral:rRNA from 1 species
UACGUAGGGUGCGAGCGUUAAUCGGAAUUACUGGGCGUAAAGCGUGCGCAGGCGGUUUGUUAAGCCAGAUGUGAAAGCCCCGGGCUCAACCUGGGAACUGCGUUUGGUACUGGCAAGCUAGAGUACGGCAGAGGGGGGUGGAAUUCCACGUGUAGCAGUGAAAUGCGUAGAGGUGUGGAGGAAUACCGAUGGCGAAGGCAGCCCCCUGGGAUGAUACUGACGCUCAUGCACGAAAGCGUGGGGAGCAAACAGG